UCUUGUGGAUGACAAGGAAGGUAGUUUCUUGAGAUAGAAUCUGCUCCUGGUGAAGAUGCUGUGAA
rnacentral:pre_miRNA from 1 species